rnacentral:rRNA from 1 species
UACAGAGGGUGCAAGCGUUAAUCGGAAUUACUGGGCGUAAAGCGUGCGUAGUCGGUUAUCUAAGUCGGGUGUGAAAUCCCCGGGCUCAACCUGGGAAUUGCAUUCGAUACUGGAUAGCUAGAGUUCGGCAGAGGGAAGCGGAAUUUCGGGUGUAGCGGUGAAAUGCGUAGAGAUGCGGAGGAACACCGAUGGCGAAGGCAGCCCCCUGGGCUGACACUGACGCUCAGGCACGAAAGCGUGGGGAGCAAACAGG